rnacentral:lncRNA from 1 species
AUAGAAACGACAAAACUAGUCACCCAAAGGCUAGCAUCUCGUCUGAUGGUGCCAGUAAGCACCACAGGCUUUGAGCAGGUGGGGCCUCCGUUCCUUCCCUGGCAGAGGGACAGACCAGACGGGCUCGAGCUCCAUCUAGAUGGUCCCCUCUCCCGCAGAAUCACCUGGCCCUCCUCCACAAUUACUCGAAAGAUUUUUCACUUUCCUCUCUGGUUCCUCUCAUCUUCUUAAUGCUGAAAGUUAGUAUUGAUGCGAAUCAAGAGGAACGGUUUCAAAAGCUCAAAACCCAAAAUCAUUAGGGCAGCGUCUGCAGUUUAGAUGUCAUCGUGGAAGAAUGAGAGGUAUUCGUUCAUUUCCAUUGAUGAGCAGGGGAGCCAUAACCUUGAAGUCGUCUUGAGGGUCACGGCCACAUCAUGGUUUCCAUGGAGGUUCCAACCUGGGCCACAUGGAUCGUGAGAGCAUCCGUGAUGUUUAGUCCUCACUCUCACUCUCUGGAUAAGUGACCUUCGGCACCCCCCUGGGUUUAAUCUUUCUCAUCUGACAAACACGGAGGUGAGACUUGAUGGGUCCCCAGAUCCCAUCUGGCUCAGACAUUGUAGAGUUUUAUGGAAAGUUUGUGAUGGCCCCCCUUGCAGGAGACAAGCAGUCUUGGGAGCAAACAUGGGCACGUGAGGUUAGAUACUCUUGCCGCCAACCUUCACAGCAAAAGCAUCUAAAUCUGUAGCUGAGGGCAGAGGGUUUGGCUUCAGGGGUUUCUCUAUGUAUAGAUAACUGGUGUGACAGGCAGUCUAAGACUCAGUUGGAUCAGAGUCCUCUUGGCCUCAAAUGACCCAUUGCCAUCAGGUAGGAGUGUCUUGGGUGGUCACAUAAAAAGUGAGUCGUGAACAGUCCAGAGAGACCUUGACCUCCCACUUGCACUCUCUGGACGAGGGUUUUCUGUAUUGGGGUUGCAGGAGAGUUUUAUCUCCACCUCGUAGAAUUUUCCACUUGUCAUGGAGGUCAGCACAUUCUUACCAUGGAUCUGUACGCCCAAAGCAGCAGCAGGGACCCACACUCAUUUUGUGAUAACUGCAUGAACUUUUUCCCAUUCUGUCGAGUUCUCCCUCCACCAAAACCCAUGUGCACAUUUCCACGUGGAAAUUACAGGAAAAGGCAUCUAUCUCUCCCAUCUAGGCACUGAUUAGGGAUAGAAAGUUAAAGACGGGCAGAUUUUUUAUGGAGCAGGAGCAGAAACGUGUGACCAAAGAAUGUUUUCAGGUUGGUUUUAGCUUCUUUAGACCGGCGAGAUUAUAUAGAUUUUUCAAAACCUUUCCCCUCUUUAAGGCAUCCGAAAGCUCUUGGUAGAAUAACAGCCAACCAAAGAGGAGGCUGGCUUACGACGAAGAUUUCUCUGUCCAGAAAGGCUACACUCUUCCUGUUCAUCCUGUAGCUUCUUUACAGAAUAGGAAAGCUCUCCUGCUAGAAUAUGGAACAGAGAUGACCUCGUGACUUUGGGCUGAUUUUUCAAAGGUAAACUGUUCAGCUUCAUAGAAAUCCAUAAAAGUAUGGCUGCUUGUGAGCGUGUGUGUGUGUGUAUGCACACAUGCACACGUCAGACUCAUUUGGGCAAUUUUAACAGCUUAGCACUAAAUCCCAAGCCAUGUCCUUUGGGUCUUAGGUCAUUAUUCUCAAAAGUAAGCAGUUUCUGGUUUCUGAGUCAUCUGGUCAUAUCUCUAGCGAUUUUUUUUCUUGAAGUUCUGAAAAUGAUUCAGAUAUGUGUGCAUAUUUAAUUCACUUAGAUGAUCUGUAAACUUGGAUGGUAUUUAUUCUAAAUGGGAAAAAAUUUUAUACUGCAAAUCUAUGUAAUUUAUAAUGGUUUUGUUUUAUAUAUUAUAUUUUCAUAUUUUUAGGGCACAUCUAUUCUCAUCUUUUUGUAUAUCAUGCUUGACAAGAAGAAAUAGUAAUACUUGACUAAAUCUCUAGGAACCAAAUGUGACAUCUAUAAUGUAUAGAAAUCGCUCUGAAAAUAACUGAAUGUCCUUACCCAUCCUGAGCAUUAUUGUACUGUGUCAUUACACCCGGAACGAUGGCUGGUGAGCGUUUCUUUUUUCAAAACCAAGCCAAAAGGCCUGGCCUCCCACACAGUGGAGUCUGGAAUCCUUCCCUUCUUUAUCCUUUUCGUUGUGUGUUUCAUUUUUAAUUGUAGACAUCCCGUGUUGCUCAGACUUCCUUUGAAGGGCAAAUGUGAGAUAAGAAAGCAACUUGAUUGAAAGACUUGGCUUGAAGGAUGGCUGUGUAACUUAUUCACUGGGCUGGUAACAUUUCUCAUCUAAUGGUUGGAUUGUUCUUUAUUGGUGAUCUCAGAGCUGUUCAGCUGUUUCGCUCGUGAAGAAAAUGUUAGGCAGAAAGAAUGUUUGCAAGAUUUGGACAGACAGCCUCUAAAUGUAAUGCAGCCAACACAAACCAGCUGAGCCUUAGAAACCCCAGUCUCAGCCAGCGGACGAGCCGUUUCAAAAGGCAGAUCAGACUCCUGUGUGUGCAGGUUGAAUUUCAGUGUUGUACCAGUGCUAAAACUCUUCAAGGGCAGCCCCUGUGGUUCUGUGAACAGGGGUUUCCUCCCAGUGUUUCAUUGGGUAAGAAAAUGGAGCAUUUACCUUAUCUUUCAGAUACUCUACUUUAUACCCAGCGCAGUUCAGCGACUACUUCCCUGUACCUGUCUUCACGUACCCUUUUGGCAGUCCCUUUAGAUCAUAAUCCUGGUUUCUGUUCUUGCUUUUUAAGCUAAUUCAUUGGUACUCUUUACAUAGCCAGCAAAUCUCAUUGUAUAUUCACAGACGCGUUUUGAACACCUGUUACCUUCACGGUAUUAGUCAUUUUUACAUUCACCUAUUCAUUUAAAAAUCCUUUAGUAGGGCUUCCCUGGUGGCGCAGUGGUUGAGAGUCUGCCUGCCAGUGCAGGGGACACGGGUUCGGGCCCUGGUCUGGGAGGAUCCCACAUGCCGCGGAGCAACUAGGCCCAUGAGCCACAACUACUGAGCCUGCGCGUCUGGAGCCUGUGCUCCGCAACGGGAGAGGCCGCAAUAGUGAGAGGCCCACGCACCGCAAUGAAGAGUGGCCCCUGCUUGCCGCAGCUAGAGAAAGCCCUCGCACAGAAACGAAGACCCAACACAGCCAAAAAUAAAUAAAUAAAUUUAUAAAAAAAAAAAAAAAAUCCUUUAGUAGAUAACGGAGUUCAUCUUCCUAAUGACCCUUAGGGUUAAACCAGUGAUUAACAAGGUUUGAAUUAAACAAAUCAGUGGUGGGGAAAAAAUAGAAAAAAACAAUUGCUUCUUAUGCUUUCUGAAGGACUGAGUGUCUGUUAUACAAGAAAAUGUUGUAUGAGGGUGAUAAUGAUCUUUCACUGAGAUAUUUUAGAAAUGUUAUUUUUAAGGGGACUAAUGCUUAGAAUACCACGGUCGAAACUGAAGCUCACAGAGAAUGUAAAAACAGAAAGCAAAUAGUUCUAAGAAUAUUCUGGCAUAAAUUAUUUUUAUUUAACGAGGAAUUAAAACCUUCAGUGUAUCUCUCAGACACCCAGCACCGCUCACAGAAGAUGCUGGCACUUAACGUUUGAUGUGCUGCUCCUCUGGUUCUGGAAUUUCUUUGUUAAAGCCAGGAAAUAAGAUGGAAAAAUGUAUCUGGGCAGAAAUGUCAAACUGUUGAUUUGUGAGCUAUAAAUGUUCACCUUUUAAGAAUAAUUUAAAGGUAUAAACAAAUGACUAAUAUUUAAAUUGUUAUAGCAGCAAAAAAGCAAAAAAACAUGUGAGCCAUCCUGUAUUUUGGUUGUUGCUUUAAUAAAGGACUUGCACAGGU